rnacentral:SRP_RNA from 1 species
GCUGGGCGUGGUGGCGUGCACCUGUAAUCCCAGCUACUCAGGAGGCUGAGGCAGGAGAAUCGCUUGAACCCAGGAGGUGGGGGUUGCAGUGAGCCGAGAUCACACCAUUGCACUCCAGCCUGGGUGACAGAGCGAGACUCUGUCUCAA